rnacentral:rRNA from 1 species
AGAGUUUGAUCAUGGCUCAGAAUCAACGCUGGCGGCGUGCCUAACACAUGCAAGUCGAACGCGAAAGCCCGCAAGGUAAGUAGAGUGGCGCACGGGUGAGUAACACGUGGACAACCUGCCUUCGAGUGGGGAAUAACCUUCCGAAAGGAGGGCUAAUACCGCAUAACACCUCGGGACAUAAGUUCUGUGGUUGAAAAGGGCAAUUUGCUCGAAGAGGGGUCCGCGCCUGAUUAGCUAGUUGGUGAGGUAAUGGCUCACCAAGGCUUCGAUCAGUAGCCGUCCUGAGAGGGAGCACGGCCACACUGGAACUGAGACACGGUCCAGACUCCUACGGGAGGCAGCAGUGGGGAAUUUUUGGCAAUGGGCGAAAGCCUGACCAAGCAACGCCGCGUGGGUGAUGAAGUAUCUUGGUACGUAAAACCCUUUCGGCAGGGACGAACCUAAUGACGGUACCUGCGGAAGAAGCCCCGGCUAACUCCGUGCCAGCAGCCGCGGUAAUACGGGGGGGGCAAGCGUUGUUCGGAAUUACUGGGCGUAAAGGGCGCGUAGGCGGUUGGAUAAGUCAGCUGUGAAAACCACGGGCUUAACUCGUGGCCUGCAGUUGAGACUGUCUGGCUUGAGUGUGGGAGAGGAGAGUGGAAUUCCUGGUGUAGCGGUGAAAUGCGUAGAUAUCAGGAGGAACACCGGUGGCGAAGGCGGCUCUCUGGACCACAACUGACGCUGAGGCGCGAAAGCUAGGGGAGCAAACAGGAUUAGAUACCCUAGUAGUCC